GUUGGUUGCAGCUUUAAUAUAAGCUAAACUUUUCUAGACGUUCAAGAUUAAAUGCACCUAAUCAGCAGCUGAAGUAACAUCUGGACAUUUAUCGGCACAGAAGUGAAAGUCUUUGUCGUACCUGCUGUGUUAGUAUUUGUUUCAGUUGGUGUGGUGAGAACUGUCCUCUGUGAAACAGCAGUUCUCCACUUUCCUCCACGCUCUGGCCAGCCAAGAUCAACAGCUUAUGGGCCGAUUCCCUGGAUAGCAAAGCAAACACCUGGCCAGGCCAGAGAAGAGAUGGAACCAGGAUUUAUCCCCUCACCUCUGAAUGAACCUGUUCCUGAGAUGGACUGAUCAGCACUUGAGUGUCCAACACUCUGGUACUGUGGCGCAGACACUUCUGCCCUAAAAAGACAGAAAAAAAGAAUAAAUAA